CUGAGCACCGACAACCUCCGAUUAGCAGGACGCUCAGCUGCUACGUACGGUGGUGCGAAAGAAAAUUCAACUCACCAUGUCCAUCUCGGCCCUGCCGCUGCUGCUGGGGGUGGUGGUGGUGGUGGGAGCCCAGCAGGAGAGGACCAUCUGCGCGGGCAUCAACGGGAUCCCCGGACAGCCCGGAGCCCCGGGGCAGCACGGGACCCCUGGGGCUCCCGGGAGGGACGGCAGAGAUGGCGUUACCGGAGCACCCGGAGCCAAGGGAGACCUCGGGGCUCGAGGCUUGACUGGGGACCCAGGU